rnacentral:lncRNA from 1 species
GGGCGGGGCUGGGCCGUGACGCCAGCCGGGCAGCUGGCGGGCUGGAGCCGUGCUGACGCCGGCGGCGGUGGCGGCGACGGCGGCUUCGGCGCUAGGAUCCCGGCGUUGCUUCAGUGGCACGGCGAUUUAGGGUCCUCUGUGCGGCCACGGUCGAAAGCCCGGUCACGGGAACCCUUGCCAGGACAGGAAACUGUGAGCCUUACCCAGGUUUCAACUGAUGGAGUGUCUCUUUUUCUUGUACCCUAUAUACGAAGUCCAUUUCUUUUAUCCUCACCACAAUCCUAGGAGGUAGAGAUGUUUGAAUUAUUUUAUUUUGCUUUAUUAUCACUGCUGUUGUUAUUGUGAUUGUGCUUUUUGAGACAGGGUCUCUUGUAGCUCAGGCUAGCCUUGAAUUCAAUCUAUAGCCCAGGAUGACGUUGAACUUCUGAUCUUCUUGCCACUACCUCCUGACUGCUGGGGUUAUACAGGUGUGUACCAC